CAGUGCCGAGAAAUGACAAAGGAAGGGUUGUUAAUUGCCAAAAAUGUACAACAAAGCGGUUUGUGCAUCCCAUGCAUAACAAAUUGGUAUCCUAAGAUGUCAGAGGAUGAAAUUGCUUCUUCUUGUCCAGUUUGUCUGGGUAAUUGCAAUUGCAAAACAUGCUUACGCAUGGAGGGAGUGAUAACAGAUGACCUGAAGAAAUUGAAGAAAGA